rnacentral:lncRNA from 1 species
UUGAGUCCAUAUUUAUAACCUGAGAAAAGUUUUAGAAUAAGUUAUUUUCUCUACGUCUCUUAAACAGAGAAUUGCAGGUGGCUGAAAAUCUAUGAGAAAUUAAAAUUAGAAAGAUAUUUUUGGAGAUCCUUUCCAGGAAAAUUAAUUUAUUUUCUAAGACCACUAAAGCAGAUGUGAAAGCAAGACAGUGGCUCCAAUUCUGUUUGGAGUAUAAAAUCUCUGCAAUUGAGUAUAUGUGGCUAGAAAAGAUUUUUAUCUGUGUCUCCUUAUCUUGUUUUUCAGUUCAAAUCUGGUUCUUAAAAAAAAAAAGGAAAAAAAUAUUAAUUUCCAGAGAGAGCAACUGUGUCUUUCAGAAAAAACCUGAAUUUCUUUCCAUUUGAGAUGUCUUAAAAUAAAUGGAAUUACAAAAUCUUACCUUGUUUCACUUA